rnacentral:rRNA from 1 species
GACGAACGCUGGCGGCGUGCUUAACACAUGCAAGUCGAACGGAAAGGCCCUGCUUUUGUGGGGUGCUCGAGUGGCGAACGGGUGAGUAACACGUGAGUAACCUGCCCUUGACUUUGGGAUAACUUCAGGAAACUGGGGCUAAUACCGGAUAGGAGCUCCUGCUGCAUGGUGGGGGUUGGAAAGUUUCGGCGGUUGGGGAUGGACUCGCGGCUUAUCAGCUUGUUGGUGGGGUAGUGGCUUACCAAGGCUUUGACGGGUAGCCGGCCUGAGAGGGUGACCGGCCACAUUGGGACUGAGAUACGCCCCAGACUCCUACGGGAGGCAGCAGUGGGGAAUAUUGCGCAAUGGGCGGAAGCCUGAUGCAGAAACGCCGCGUGCGGGAUGACGGCCUUCGGGUUGUAAACCGCUUUCGCCUGUGACGAAGCGUGAGUGACGGUAAUGGGUAAAGAAGCACCGGCUAACUACGUG